CGAAAGCCUGACGGAGCAAGACCGCGUGAGGGAGGAAGGCUCUUGGGUUGUAAACCUCUUUUCUCAGGGAAGAAGCUCUGACGGUACCUGAGGAAUCAGCCUCGGCUAACUCCGUGCCAGCAGCCGCGGUAAUACGGAGGAGGCAAGCGUUAUCCGGAAUUAUUGGGCGUAAAGAGUCCGUAGGUAGUGGGGCAAGUCGGCGGUUAAAGGCUGGGGCUUAACUCCAGAAGAGCCGUGGAAACUGCACCACUAGAGGGCGGUAGGGGUAGAGGGAAUUCCCGGUGUAGCGGUGAAAUGCGUAGAUAUUGGGAAGAACACCGGUGGCGAAAGCGCUCUACUGGGCCAUAACUGACACUGAGGGACGAAAGCCAAGGUAGCG
rnacentral:rRNA from 1 species